rnacentral:rRNA from 1 species
CCUACGGGAGGCAGCAGUGGGGAAUAUUGGACAAUGGGCGCAAGCCUGAUCCAGCAAUGCCGCGUGAGUGAUGAAGGCCUUAGGGUCGUAAAGCUCUUUUACCAGGGAUGAUAAUGACAGUACCUGGAGAAUAAGCUCCGGCUAACUCCGUGCCAGCAGCCGCGGUAAUACGGAGGGAGCUAGCGUUGUUCGGAAUUACUGGGCGUAAAGCGUACGUAGGCGGUUAUUCAAGUCAGAGGUGAAAGCCCGGGGCUCAACCCCGGAACGGCCUUUGAAACUAGGUAGCUAGAAUCUUGGAGAGGUCAGUGGAAUUCCGAGUGUAGAGGUGAAAUUCGUAGAUAUUCGGAAGAACACCAGUGGCGAAGGCGACUGACUGGACAAGUAUUGACGCUGAGGUACGAAAGCGUGGGGAGCAAACAGGAUUAGAUACCCUGGUAGUCCACGCCGUAAACGAUGAUAACUAGCUGUUCGGGCACUUGGUGCUUGAGUGGCGCAGCUAACGCAUUAAGUUAUCCGCCUGGGGAGUACGGUCGCAAGNUUAAAACUUAAAUGAAUUGACGG